rnacentral:rRNA from 1 species
UGGGGAAUAUUGCGCAAUGGGCGAAAGCCUGACGCAGCAACGCCGCGUGGAGGAUGAAGGCCUUCGGGUCGUAAACUUCUGUCAGGAGGGAAGAAGGUCGCCGGGCAAAUAACCCGGUUGGCUUGACGGUACCUCCACAGGAAGCCCCGGCUAACUCCGUGCCAGCGGCCGCGGUAAUACGGAGGGGGCAAGCGUUAUUCGGAAUCAUUGGGCGUAAAGGGCGCGUAGGCGGCUUGGCAAGUCGAAGGUGAAAUCCCCCGGCUCAACUGGGGAACUGCCUUCGAAACUGCCAGGCUAGAGUCCGGGAGAGGGUAGUGGAAUUCCCAGUGUAGCGGUGAAAUGCGUAGAUACUGGGAGGAACACCAGUGGCGAAGGCGGCUACCUGGACCGGUACUGACGCUGAGGCGCGAAAGCGUGGGGAGCAAACAGGAUUAGAUACCCUGGUAGUCCACGCUGUAAACGAUGGGCACUCGGUGCUGCGGGUAUCGACCCCUGCGGUGCCUUAGCUAACGCGUUAAGUGCCCCG